CUGGCCUGCCCAGUGAUUAAUUUAACGGCCGCGGUAUACUGACCGUGCAAAGGUAGCAUAAUCAUUAGUCUUUUAAUAGAGGGCUGGAAUGAAAGGUUUAACGAGAAAAUAGCUGUCUCAUUUUAUUUGUUUUAAAAUUUAAUUUUUUAGUUAAAAAGCUAAAAUUUUAUUGGAAGACGAGAAGACCCUAUAGAUCUUUAUAAAAAUUUAUUUAAUUAUUAUUAUAUAUAUAAAAUUAUUUAUUUUUUUAUUUUGUUGGGGGGACAAAAAUAUAAAUCUAACUUUUUUAUUUACUAAACAUUGAUUUAUGAAUAUAUGAUCCAUUAUUAGUGAUUAUUAGAAUAAGUUACCUUAGGGAUAACAGCGUAAUCCUCCUCCAGAGUUCAUAUUUACAGGAUGGGCUUGCGACCUCGAUGUUGGAUUAAGAUAAUAAUUAGGGGUAGCCGCUUAAUAUAUAGGUCUGUUCGACCUUUAA
rnacentral:rRNA from 1 species